rnacentral:rRNA from 1 species
GAUCAUGGCUCAGGAUGAACGCUAGCUACAGGCUUAACACAUGCAAGUCGAGGGGCAGCAUGGUCUUAGCUUGCUAAGGCCGAUGGCGACCGGCGCACGGGUGAGUAACGCGUAUCCAACAUGCCUUACACUCUUGGACAGCCUUCUGAAAGGGAGAUUAAUACAAGAUGUUAUCAUGAGUAAGCAUUUUCACAUGNUUAAAGGUUUACCGGUGUAAGAUGGGGAUGCG